rnacentral:rRNA from 1 species
AACGAACGCUGGCGGCAUGCCUAACACAUGCAAGUCGAACGAGACCUUCGGGUCUAGUGGCGCACGGGUGCGUAACGCGUGGGAACCUGCCCUUAGGUUCGGAAUAACUCCCCGAAAGGGGUGCUAAUACCGGAUAAUGUCUUCGGACCAAAGAUUUAUCGCCUUUGGAUGGGCCCGCGUUGGAUUAGCUAGUUGGUAGGGUAAAAGCCUACCAAGGCGACGAUCCAUAGCUGGUCUGAGAGGAUGAUCAGCCACACUGGGACUGAGACACGGCCCAGACUCCUACGGGAAGCAGCAGUGGGGAAUAUUGGACAAUGGGCGAAAGCCUGAUCCAGCAAUGCCGCGUGAGUGAUGAAGGCCUUAGGGUUGUAAAGCUCUUUUACCCGGGAUGAUAAUGACAGUACCGUGAGAAUAAGCGCCGGCUAACUCCGUG